GAUGAACGCUAGCGGCAGGCUUAACACAUGCAAGUCGAGGGGUAACAGGUCUUCGGACGCUGACGACCGGCAAACGGGUGCGGAACACGUACGCAACAUACCCACUACAGGGGGAUAGCCCGGAGAAAUCCGGAUUAACACCCCAUAGUAUGCUUGGAGGGCAUCCUUUAAGCAUUAAAAAUCUAUUGGUAGUGGAUUGGCGUGCGUCCCAUUAGAUAGUUGGCGGGGUAACGGCCCACCAAGUCAGCGAUGGGUAGCUGGUGUGAGAGCACGACCAGCCACACGGGCACUGAGACACGGGCCCGACUCCUACGGGAGGCAGCAGUGAGGAAUAUUGGUCAAUGGGCGCAAGCCUGAACCAGCCAUGCCGCGUGGAGGAUGACAGCCUUCUGGGUUGUAAACUUCUUUUAUAUGGGAAGAAAAGCGAGGUUUCUACUUUGUCCGACGGUACCAUAUGAAUAAGCACCGGCUAACUCCGUGCCAGCAGCCGCGGUAAUACGGAGGGUG
rnacentral:rRNA from 1 species